GAGUUUGAUCGUGGCUCAGGAUGAACGCUGGCGGCGUGCCUAAUACAUGCAAGUCGUACGAACAGCGGAAAGUGCUUGCACUUUCCAAGUAAGUGGCGAACGGGUGAGUAACACGUGAAUAACCUACCUCAAAGUCUGGGGAUAACCAUUGGAAACAGUGACUAAUACCGGAUAAAACCUAGUAGCACAUGCUACAAGGUUAAAAG
rnacentral:rRNA from 1 species